rnacentral:rRNA from 1 species
UACGGAGGGUGCAAGCGUUAUCCGGAAUCACUGGGUUUAAAGGGUGCGUAGGAGGGCAGGUAAGUCAGUGGUGAAAUCUCCAAGCUUAACUUGGAAGCUGCCGUUGAUACUAUCUGUCUUGAAUACCGUGGAGGUGAGCGGAAUAUGUCAUGUAGCGGUGAAAUGCUUAGAUAUGACAUAGAACACCAAUUGCGAAGGCAGCUCGCUACACGAAUAUUGACUCUGAGGCACGAAAGCGUGGGGAUCAAACAGG